GUCCAGCUGAAGAGUUCAGAACAGGGCGGAACCUGCGUCCUGGAU
rfam:Schistosoma margrebowiei strain Zambia genome assembly, scaffold: SMRZ_scaffold0000370